CACCCGUACAAUUUAAAAACACCUCUUCGGCUUCUAUGUUUUUAUCCCUAGCCAGUCGUUGAAGUAAUUACGCGGUAGAGUAGAGAUGAAGAGUCCAAAUUAGGAUUCAACAUCAAUACAGAAAGUAUCGAAGAUUUAAGAAAUUUUGUUUCUACAAAAUGCUCCAGAAGACAAGCUCUGACAUAUCGUAUUAGAGAGAUUGCUCUUUGUAAUGGCUGCUUCUGAAAAGACAGCCGUGAGGAACAGAGUGAAGGUUCGCCUUCCCCGAGUUGGAUCAAGAACAGAACUUAUUGAAGCCAAAAGUAAGCAAGGAUUUCAUGAGAUGUAUUCUGCCACUUCGGAAGGAGGUAAUCUGCAAAAUUUUGGGAACAGCUGUUCAAGUAAAGGUACUAAAUCAUUUGAUCUUUCAUAUGGGUUUGACCAACCGACACUAUUAAAGUGUAAAACUUAUCCCGUUAUUGCUGGUACAGAAAGGAAAACAUGUGCGAGCAAAGUCGUUGAAAAUGAAUCUAAUCAAUUGGAAAAGUUCAUUGCCAAAAUGCCCAAUGUUGAAUUUAUUUCGCCAGAUGCUCACAAAAGUCGAAGGUCGUUAGAGUUAGAUGGCAGAAAAAUGAAGAGACAAAGAACAAAUACUAUCGACAUAGAAUUGUUAAAUUGUUCAAGUGGCCAUUCCUUUGCAUAUUGUGAAGAAAAAACUUACAUGGAGACGAGUAAACGGGAAAAGGGUGCAGCCCUAGUGGCGCGUGUUGGUGAACCUGGACCUGGAAAGUGUAUGUAUGGUCAAAUAGGAAAGAGGCAGAUACUUGACUAUGAGAAGAGGCUAGACUGUACCAAGAUACUAAGGAAACUGAUGACUCAUCCAGACUCUUGGAUAUUUAAUAGGCCGGUUGACCCAAUCGAGCUGAAUAUUCCAGAUUAUUUCUCUAUUAUUACUGAACCAAUGGACUUGGGCACAGUUAAACAAAAACUACAGGCGAAAAGGUAUUUGAAUGGCAGUGUGUUCGCCUCUGAUGUGCGAUUAACCUUUUCAAAUGCCAUGAGAUAUAAUCCACCAAGUAAUUAUGUUCAUGGAUUGGCUCGGGAGCUAAAUAAUGAUUUUGGAUCACUGUGGAGAGCUGUUCAAGCAAAAUGGAGUUCGGAAAGCUCAAUGGUUGCUCGGAAGCCAACUCUUAAUAAAAGAUCGGAAGAAGCUCAGACUCUGAGAAAAGGGGGUCCAAAAGAAGAUGCUCCAUCUUGUUUGAAUCAAUUGCCGGAAAUUUCAUUGUCACCUUCCCUUAGGACUAAGAUGAGAAAAGAUAUCAUGGAAAUAUCGAAAGGAAAAGUUUCAGGAGACUUACUUAAUUGUUUGCGAAGAUCUGGUUUGAUCAAUCAAAUGGAAGAAAAAAUCCAAAUUGACAUUGAUGCAUUUGAUGAUGAGAAGCUGUCAAAAUGGCAUAAAAUAAUAAGGCCAUAUCUUAAUUCAGAACCAGCAACUUCUGUUCUGGUAAAAAAAUCUGGUGGAAAUGGCUCCAUACAGAAAAAGCUUCAUAACGGAGCGCGUGUCAAUAUAACUCCUAAUACAAAAGUAGCUGCUCGUGUUGAUGGUGGCAGCAUGGACAGCAAAGGCAUUGGUCAAAAGGAACUCUCCCAAUCUUCAAAUUCUGACAGAGUCCAAUGUAAGAAUAAUUCUGCACACCCUGGUGGUCCACAUAACUUGGAUCCUCUAGCUAAUGGCACUGGUGGACGGGAAAUUAGCACGCUUGAUCCUAAUGCUGAUGGUGAGAAAGAGUUUUCUUAUCUUAGUUAUCUGUGGAAGCUGUAUUGCCUGAUUUUUCAUAUUCUUCCUGAUAUUUGCCUGUUCUGAAUUGCAUUGAGACUUGACUUGUGAGAGUUGCGAGUGCUGUAGAUGACAGAAAAGUCAAGUAUAGUGCUUCUCCUGCAACUCCUGUCAUGCCCGUUGCUUCCAGAGAAGGUCUACUACAUCCAUAAUUUCAUCACUCUGUCCUUUCCCCCUGAGGCUACCUUCUCGCCAUCCGGACUCCAAUCGACAGCAAAAACCUUCUCAAGAAAAGAUCAAAAUUAGUGGUGCCACAAGUUCAAUAGUAAAAAGCAGUGUGAUACUAAAUUAGAGAAGAAAAAUUACCUCAUCCUCAUGACCUGGAAGAUCCUGCUUUAACUUUUGCUUCUGGAUAUCCCAUACCUAAAAGGAUAAAUUGCAGAACAGAGAAAAGGUUAGUAUUAUUAGCAACAGAGAACGUAUAAUUCGUACAACACAAUAUUGCUUCUGGUAAAUUCUUGUUUAGGUCCUAGAUGGUCAAUAAAGAGAUUUCAUGGUAAAUAAUUGAGGGAGUCAAACUUUGUCUAGUGCCAACUUGUCACAAAUAUACUAUUGGCGAAAACGUGAAAACCAAUUACCUUCA